rnacentral:rRNA from 1 species
GAUGAACGCUGGCGGCGUGCCUUAAGCAUGCAAGUCGAACGGAAAUUAGUCGCAAGAUUGAAAUCAGUGGCGGACGGGUGAGUACUACUUAGGAAUCUGCCUAUUAGUGGGGGACAACAUCUCGAAAGGGAUGCUAAUACCGCAUACGUCCUACGGGAGAAAGCAGGGGAUCUUUAUGACCUUGCGCUAAUAGAUGAGCCUAAGUCGGAUUAGCUAGUUGGUGGGGUAAAGGCCUACCAAGGCGACGAUCUGUAGCGGGUCUGAGAGGAUGAUCCGCCACACUGGGACUGAGACACGGCCCAGACUCCUACGGGAGGCAGCAGUGGGGAAUAUUGGACAAUGGGGGGAACCCUGAUCCAGCCAUGCCGCGUGUGUGAAGAAGGCCUUAUGGUUGUAAAGCACUUUAAGCGAGGAGGAGGCUACUGAGACUAAUACUCUUGGAUAGUGGACGUUACUCGCAGAAUAAGCACCGGCUAACUCUGUGCCAGCAGCCGCGGUAACAC